rnacentral:rRNA from 1 species
GACGAACGCUGGCGGCGUGCUUAAUACAUGCAAGUCGAACGGAAAGGCCCUGCUUUUGUGGGGUGCUCGAGUGGCGAACGGGUGAGUAACACGUGAGUAACAUGCCCUUGACUUUGGGAUAACUUCAGGAAACUGGGGCUAAUACCGGAUAGGAGCUCCUGCUGCAUGGGGGGGGUUGGAAAGUUUCGGCGGUUGGGGAUGGACUCGAGGCUUAUCAGCUUGUUGGUGGGGUAGUGGCUUACCAAGGCUUCGAAGGGUAGCCGGCCUGAGAGGGUUACCGGCCACAAUGGGACUGAGAGACGGCCCAGACUCCUACGGGAGGCAGCAGUCGGGAAUAUUGCACAAUGGGCGGAAGCCUGAUGCAGCAACGCCCCGUGCGGGAUGACGGCCUUCGGGUUGUAAACCGCUUUCGCCUGUGACGAAGCGUGCGUGACGGUAAUGAGUAAAGAAGCACCGGCUAACUACGUG